GGCCGCAGAACCAGGACCUAGGCUGCAGAACCGGGACCUAGGCCGCAGAACCGGGACCUAGGCCGCAGAACCGGGAGCUGGGCCGCGGAACCGGGAGCUGGGCCGCAGAACCAGGACCUAGGCCGCGGAACCGGGAGCUGGGCCGCGGAACCAGGAGCGGGGCCACAGAACCAGGACCUAGGCUGCAGAACCGGGAGCUGGGCCGCAGAACCGGGUCUCAGAAGCCAUCCGUGGUCUGAGGCGGCUACUGUUGGGCUGAGGCCGAACACAUACACCCAGGACGCCCAGUGAUUAGAGCUCUAGAGCACAGGUGAGCAAGAAUUGGUGUCUUCUUUCCCUUAAAAAUAAAAAUAGUAAUAAUAAUAAAAAGAUUUAUUUCUUUAUUUGAGAGAGAGCGAGCAUGAGUGGGGUGCUGGGAAGGAGGCAACAAGGAGGC
rnacentral:lncRNA from 1 species